AUUGAACGCUGGCGGCAGGCCUAACACAUGCAAGUCGAGCGGAGCGGCGGACGGGUGAGUAAUGCCUAGGAAUCUGCCUGGCAGAGGGGGAUAACGUCCGGAAACGGGCGCUAAUACCGCAUCCUAUCAGCUGAGCCUAGGUCGGAUUAGCUAGUUGGUGGGGUAAAGGCCUACCAAGGCGACGAUCCGUAACUGGUCUGAGAGGAUGAUCAGUCAAACUGGAACUGAGACACGGGCCAGACUCCUACGGGAGGCAGCAGUGGGGAAUAUUGGACAAUGGGCGAAAGCCUGACCCAGCCAUGCCGCGUGUGUGAAGAAGGUCUUCGGAUUGUAAAGCUCUUUAAGUUGGGAGGCGUUACCAACAGAGUAAGCACCGGCUAACUUCGUGCCAGCAGCCGCGGUAAUUC
rnacentral:rRNA from 1 species